AUGCAGUUGACGGGAUUUGUAUGGUGCUUGCACCAUGUAAUGAGAGUAGCGCACUGGUGAGUAACACGUGGGAACAUACCUUGAAGUGGGGGACAACAGUUGGAAACGACUGCUAAUACCGCAUAAUCCCUGAGGGGGAAAGAUUUAUCGCUUUAAGAUUGGCCCGCGGAAGAUUAGGUAGUUGGUGGGGUAAAGGCCUACCAAGCCGACGAUCUAUAGCUGGUCUGAGAGGACGAACAGCCACAUUGGAACUGAGACACGGUCCAGACUCCUACGGGAGGCAGCAGUGAGGAAUAUUGGGCAAUGGAGGAAACUCUGACCCAGCCAUGCCGCGUGAGUGAAGAAGGUUUUCGAAUUGUAAAGCUCUUUCGGAUGGGACGAUGAUGACGGUACCAUCUAAAGAAGCCCCGGCAAACUUCGUGCCAGCAGCCGCGGUAAUACGAAGGGGGCAAGCGUUGUUCGGAAUUACUGGGCGUAAAGGGUGUGUAGGCGGAUUUGUAAGAUAGUGGUGAAAUACCUGAGCUCAACUUAGGAAUUGCCAUUAUAACUAUAGAUCUGGAGUGACAGAGAGGAUAUUGGAAUACCCAGUGUAGAGGUGAAAUUCGUAGAUAUUGGGUAGAACACCAGUGGCGAAGGCGAGUAUCUGGCUGUCAACUGACGCUGAGGCACGAAAGCAUGGGGAUCAAACAGGAUUAGAUACCCUGGUAGUCCAUGCUGUAAACGAUGAAUGCUAGUUGUCGGCAAAAGCCGGUGACGCAGUUAACGCGAUAAGCAUUCCGCCUGGGGAGUACGGUCGCAAGAUUAAACUCAAAGGAAUUGACGGG
rnacentral:rRNA from 1 species